CCCCUCUCACUCUGUCGCUCUGGCCACACUUACCAAAAUACAAACGAAACUACCCUUCUGAUGAAAGUACCCAUUUGGAAGCUAAACCGCCAAUGAUGCUGAUGCCCACAGUUGAUAGCAGUAUAAUGUUUAUCAAGAAGAGGAGCUUGAUGGAGGUGAUUCCUCCAAGUUGGAGGAAUAUGUGGACAGAAUGGCAGCUACGAGUGUUGGUUCUAUUUAGCCUCUCUACCCAAAUAAUUCUCGUCGUUCUGGGCAAGCGCAGAAAGCGUGUUUCGGGAUCUUGGAUCAGAUUUACUGUUUGGUUAGCCUACUUACUCGCUGACUCAAUAGCAUUAAUGGCUGCUGUCAUAAUCUCAAAUGAACUAGGAGGUGUUUACGAUGCCAAUGGUUUAGUUGAUCCAAAGC